rnacentral:rRNA from 1 species
AACGAACGCUGGCGGCAGGCUUAACACAUGCAAGUCGAACGAGAUCUUCGGAUCUAGUGGCGCACGGGUGAGUAACGCGUGGGAAUCUACCUUGGAGUCUGGGAUAACAGUUGGAAACGACUGCUAAUACCGGAUACGCCCCCUGGGGGAAAGGUUUACUGCUCCAAGAUGAGCCCGCGUCCAAUUAGGUAGUUGGUGAGGUAAAGGCUCACCAAGCCGACGAUUGGUAGCUGGUCUGAGAGGAUGGCCAGCCACACUGGGACUGAGACACGGCCCAGACUCCUACGGGAGGCAGCAGUGGGGAAUAUUGGACAAUGGGGGCAACCCUGAUCCAGCCAUGCCGCGUGAGUGAUGAAGGCCUUAGGGUUGUAAAGCUCUUUCGCCGGUGACGAUGAUGACGGUAACCGGAGAAGAAGCCCCGGCUAACUUCGUGCCAGCCGCCGCCGUAA